CGGACAUGACGUGUGGCUGUCGUAAAAACCCUAUUUGUAAACAACCAGUCCUUUUAACUCGGGGCUGCGUCAUAAACACGGCGCGCUUGGAAGACCACGAUGUCAUCUUCCUUCUGUCAGGAGGAUCCCAGUGAAGCUACAGGAGUUUCAUUAACGUCAACAACUUGGACCGAACGGUUUGUUUUGCUUGAUGAAGAGCAGGAAGGGCAGCCUGGAGAGAAAGAGAAGCCGGGUUGAGCCCACUACCAUCAUCCACGUACCACGAGGAAGAUGAGGGAGAGAGAUGAUCCUACCAUUAAAGAGACUGUGAAAAGAACGUUGAGAACAUCACCACUCUACAGGAAGACACAGUCCAGUAAUGGGUGUCAGAAUUUCAGUAGUGAACGACAGGAAGGACUGAUGCAUUUACUGAGACGGGACGUGAGGGCCUACUCUGCGUGCUCAGAGUUCAAGCCCAGCAGGCUGCAGCGGUCCUGACAUAUUCCGGAACAGCAGCACAGUCUUUGGAUGACUCCUCUGAAGAUGAAACAUGGCGAGUUCUUCUCAAGAGAAGCAGUACAGGUGUGCCUCAGCUCCACGGUCCCUCCUGCAACCUCCACUCCUGAUGCUAACCUCAUGUCUCCAUCACACCAAGCAGCAGACCUGGAUUGACAGACCUUUCUCCAGAGCUGCCCCCUCCCUCUGAAACCCCCCUCUCCAAAACACUAUUUGUGUAGUUUUUAAAGUAUUUUUUGCAUGAGAAUUGUUGAUCAUAACAUUUCCAGCAGAUGCCUUAAUGUAAUGUU